GCCCGAUUAUUUCAAUUGGUUAGAAUGUCAGCCUUUUAGGGAAGCUGAAAGCUCCGGGUUCGAGCCCCGGAUCGGGCU